AGCUAACGUUGGCGGCGUGCCUAACACAUGCAAGUCGAACGCGCCGGAGCAAUCCGGUGAGUGGCGAACGGGUGAGUAACACGUGGGUCAUCUCCCCUCGAGUGAGGAAUAAGCCACCGAAAGGUGGUCUAAUACUGCAUAACGCCCCAGGGCAUAAGUCUUGGGGCCAAAGCCGAAAGGCGCUUGAGGAUGAGCCUGCGUCCUAUUAGCUAGUUGGUAGGGUAAUGGCCUACCAAGGCGAAGAUGGGUAGCCGGCCUGAGAGGGUGAACGGCCACACUGGGACAGAGACACGGCCCAGACUCCUACGGGAGGCAGCAGUGAGGAAUUUUGCGCAAUGGGGGAAACCCUGACGCAGCGACGCCGCGUGGAGGAUGAAGGCCUUCGGGUCGUAAACUCCUGUCAGAGGUGAAGAAUGCCCGCAAGGGCUUGACGGUAACCUCAGAGGAAGCCCCGGCUAACUACGUGCCAGCCGCCGCCGUAACAC
rnacentral:rRNA from 1 species